CUGUGUACGGCAGACAGGCACUAUUCGCGAGCAGACGAUAUCAAUUUUUGGCCUUGUGUGUUCCCCGACCAAGCACUGUAUAGUUGCUACUUAUGACUGAACGCGCAUGCCGCUAGCUCGCGAGCUGACGGUCUGAUAAUAAGGCUUGUCACACACACGCGUACACAACAAAAGUUUGGGAAAGUUGCAAAGUUUGCCGGAGCCAGCCUCAUAGUAUUGGUAUGUGCUGUGGCUGUUGACGUACCUGCUGAGGCUACAGCGGACUGAGUUACAAACUAGUAGUCGUGACGGGAUGGAUGACGGGAGACCACAAUUCAAACAGGAGCCACUGAGUCCCGGAAGUCGCCACGGACACGACUUAAUGGCCAUGCAGCAAACUUACCACCAGGGAGAGGUUUUGUCUCGGACCCAAGGCGCCCUCGAUAUGUCUCAGGGUGGGAGAUCGGCAACAAUUGCUGCUGGCAUGCCAUACAUAUCUGAUACUAUGACGUCAUAUGCACUCUCAACCCAUGACGUCACUCCAGCCUAUGUCAUGCAGGACCGUAACCUCAUGUUGGGAAUGUAUGGGUAUGCUCCCGUGAUAACUGAGGGUAAGGGGUCUGGUCACGUGGACCUUCUCACCAAUGGAAUGGAGAGUUCUGAGGUCAACGGAUGUGACGGGCCUCCGGAGAAUGCCCAACCCAAAUUACGAAACACAGCCCUACCAGGAAUGGGCAAACGAUCGCACCUUCCAAAGCGGUACAAAUGUGCCAUGUGCGCAUACCGUACUAGAUACAAGUCAGACUUAAACCGCCAUGUUAGGAAACACGCCGUAGCCACAUUCAACUGCGAAAUCUGCAACAUGCCGUUUAAAACCAUUGGAAACGUUGAAUUCCACAAACGGAAGGAGCAUGCGGAUAUGAUUGUGACGUCGGCUGCCAGUACAUCCGGGUCAGUUAAAGACCAGCCUCCAAAACAUAGCUGUAAGCAUUGUGAUUACAGUACCUCCUAUAGCUCCGACUUGACCCGACACGUCCGGAAACAUUUCUCGUCCAAGUUCCACUGCAACAUGUGUAAUCGUCCCUUCAUGACAUUUUCCAGUCUGGCCACUCACAAACGCACAGCACACAACAGUGGCGAACACGACAUCGAGGUCAUUGGAAGCGAAGGUGAAUGUGAGAUUACCGAGGAUGUUGGACCAGUGAUAGGAGAGGGAGCCAUAGAGGACGGAGAUGAAGAAGUGGAGGAGGCAGUGUCAAAUUCGCAAAAAGAUGUUCGAGGACGAUCUGAAGACCUGUUAAGACUGGAAGUAAAUUGUGAGAAGGAAAAUGACAAGAAGAUGGAAGAGGAUGAAAAUAGAAAUAUUGCAGAUAUCAAUAAUAUCUCCGAAGAAAAACCAGAAGCAAACAAAGACCAGUCGCCAUCAACAAAGGUAUCCAAGUCUCCAGACAACGUCACGUGUACUAAGUAUACAUGCGAAUACUGUGACAAGUCUUUUGGUCGAAAACUGGUUUUAGAAUACCAUCUUAAAAACAUUCACAAAAUAGGGAAGUCUGGACAGGAAGACACGGACGUGUUUGUUGAAUACCCAGAUGACGAUUAUGAUUUGGCUCUGGACAUGUCUAUACAGGAACUGGAAAAUUCUACGUCUGAUGGCGUAGCAGAUCGCACGCUUGAUGUCAGCGGCAAACUGCGACACCAGUGUCAUUUAUGUGCGUAUGCUACCAAUUACAAAAGUACAUUUGAUCGGCACGUGCGGAAACAUGACCUUGAAUGUCACAUUUGCGACGUCUGCCGAAUGCCAUUCAUCACCUUUGGUCAUCUUCAGCGUCACAUCCGAGACAAUCAUCCUGAUCACACCCAGAUGAGCGCCAGGAAAGAGCCUACGGACGGGCGGUCAGCGGUAUAUGAUUUCCCGCCAAAUGACUCCCGGGUCGCCAACUCUCCGUUCCCCUCCCGAUGUAAGAUGGAAGGUCAAGCUCCACCACAGGUCUCCUUCCAAGGGAUGGCGGUUAACAAACCCACAUUGUUGUCUCCAGGGAAGGGCCAGCAUGGCGAAGGUGUAGGAACAAAAUCUAGCUGGACCAGUCAGCGACGCUUGUCCGGUGUUGAGGAAGGCGUGACCACUAGCCCGCCUACCAGCGGACGCUACGCCAAACUUGUAUCCGACUAUGACAGUUUUGCUGAAAAGCCAUUUGCUUGCGCUUUGUGCUUUUACAGAACUGGUGAUAUAUCAAAUCUUGUAGAACACGCAGAGAAUCACUUGACCGGAUGUAGCGUGACGCCAGUUCCGGAUACAUGUAAAUUUAAGGUGGGCGGCUCCAUGUCACACGGAGCAGUCGACCUGAACCGUCAGGUGAAAUGUCCGACUUUAUCAACAUACAGUUUAUACACCUCUCCUACAUCUAAUGGGCGUGGCCACGGGGAAGGCUCUUUCACUCCAAAUGACAUUUCACAAUCACAAUAUAUUUAUUCUAAUCGCACGCGUGCCUUUAUAUCAAAGAAUUUGGAUUCAAACCAAAUGACGAUUCAUCAAAGCCAAUGCAUGCCAAACAACAAAUAUCAGGUUAACGAGACAAAUCCUGAAGAAAACAUACCGGCGAUGCCAAACAGACAACAGUCUGCGAUAACAGGACAGCAGCCUAAAAACGUCGCCAGUGUCACGGUCGUACCUAAAAAGACUGACCGCAUGAUACCCACGUUCUCCGUCCACUACAGGAAGGACAAAACAAACAAAGUACGCCCAUACUUGUGUCUGUUAUGUCGUAAACGUUUCCGUCAUCUCAUGUUGCUGAAACAACAUUUUAAAGUGGCACACAGCGAGUCACAGGUAGGGAGUCCGCGGUAUUAUACAUGUCGAAUGUGUAAGGAGGUGUUUGACAAUCCUAUGUCAUUACAGGAACAUCACGACAUCAACCAUUAGUUAUAUAAUAUAGCAAAUCUACGUUAUGGCAGUUUUAUAUUUAUGUGCGGUAUUAAGACAGUUAUGUACAUCACAGAGGUAUGUAGUGGUGUAUGUACAUCACAGAGGUAUGUGGUGGUGUAUAUACAUCACAGAGGUAUGUAGUGGUGUAUAUUUGUAUGUCGAGUGUGUGGUAUUAAGACAGGUAUAUACAUCAUAGAGGUAUGUGGUGGUGUAUAUUUGUAUGUCGAGUGUCCGGUAUUAAGACAGUUAUGUACAUCACAGAGGUAUGUAGUGGUGUAUAUUUGCAUGUCGGGUGUGUGGUAUUAAGACAGUUAUGUACAUCACAUAGGUAUGUAGUGGUGUAUAUACAUCACAGAGGUAUGUAGUGGUGUAUGUACAUCACAGAGGUAUGUAGUGGUGUAUAUUUCGAGUGUCUGGUAUUAAGACAGUUAUAUACAUCACAGAGGUAUGUGGUGGUGUAUAUACAUCACAGAGGUAUGUGGUGGUGUAUAUACAUCACAGAGGUAUGUGGUGGUGUAUGUACAUCACAGAGGUAUGUGGUGGUGUAUAUUUGUAUGUCGGGUGUGUGGUAUUGAGACAGUUAUGUACAUCACAGAGGUAUGUAGUGGUGUAUAUACAUCACAGAGGUAUGUAGUGGUGUAUGUACAUCACAGAUGUAUGUGGUGGUGUAUAUUUGUAUGUCGGGUGUGUGGUAUUAAGACAGUUAUAUACAUCACAGAGGUAUGUGGUGGUGUAUAUUUGUAUGUCGAGUGUCUGGUAUUGAGACAGUUAUAUACAUCACAGAGGUAUGUGGUGGUGUAUAUACAUCACAGAGGUAUGUAGUGGUGUAUAUUUGUAUGUCGGGUGUGUGGUAUUGAGACAGUUAUGUACAUCACAGAGGUAUGUAGUGGUGUAUAUUUGUAUGUCGAGUGUCUGGUAUUAAGACAGUUAUGUACAUCACAGAGGUAUGUAGUGGUGUAUAUUUGUAUGUCGAGUGUCUGGUAUUAAGACAGUUAUAUACAUCACAGAGGUAUGUAGUGGUGUAUGUACAUCACAGAGGUAUGUAGUGGUGUAUAUUUGUAUGUCGAGUGUCUGGUAUUAAGACAGGUAUGUACAUCACAGAGGUAUGUAGUGGUGUAUAUUUCGAGUGUCUGGUAUUAAGACAGUUAUGUACAUCACAGAGGUAUGUGGUGGUGUAUGUACAUCACAGAGGUAUGUAGAGGUGUAUAUUUGUAUGUCGAGUGUCUGGUAUUAAGACAGUUAUGUACAUCACAGCGGUAUGUGGUGGUGUAUAUUUGUAUGUCGGGUGUCUGGUAUUAAGACAGUUAUGUACAUCACAGAGGUAUGUAGUGGUGUAUAUUUGUAUGUCGAGUGUCUGGUAUUGAGACAGGUAUAUACAUCACAGAGGUAUGUGGUGGUGUAUAUACAUCACAGAGGUAUGUAGUGGUGUAUAUUUGUAUGUCGAGUGUCUGGUAUUAAGACAGGUAUAUACAUCACAGAGGUAUGUGGUGGUGUAUAUUUGUAUGUCGAGUGUCUGGUAUUAAGACAGGUAUAUACAUCACAGAGGUAUGUAGUGGUGUAUAUUUGAAUGUCGAGUGUCUGGUAUUAAGACAGUUAUGUACAUCACAGAGGUAUGUAGUGGUGUAUAUUUGUAUGUCGGGUGUCUGGUAUUAAGACAGGUAUAUACAUCACAGAGGUAUGUAGUGGUGUAUAUACAUCACAGAGGUAUGUAGUGGUGUAUAUUUGUAUGUCGAGUUUCUGGUAUUGAGACAGUUAUGUACAUCACAGAGGUAUGUGGUGGUGU